UGGCAGCGUGAUGCGGCGG
rnacentral:misc_RNA from 1 species